rnacentral:rRNA from 1 species
AACGAACGCUGGCGGCAGGCCUAACACAUGCAAGUCGAACGCUCCGCAAGGGGAGUGGCGCACGGGUGAGUAACACGUGGGAACCUACCUUCUGGUACGGAACAACCAAGGGAAACUUUGGCUAAGACCGUAUACGACCUCCGGGUGAAAGAUUGAUCGCCGGAAGAGGGGCCAGCGUCCGAUUAGGUAGUUGGUGAGGUAACGGCUCACCAAGCCUUCGAUCGGUAGCUGGUCUGAGAGGAUGACCAGCCACACUGGGACUGAGACACGGCCCAGACUCCUACGGGAGGCAGCAGUGGGGAAUAUUGGACAAUGGGCGCAAGCCUGAUCCAGCCAUGCCGCGUGAGUGAUGAAGGCCUU